AGAAGAAUGGAUUAUUAGAACCUAAUAAUCUUGAGCACUAAAAGGCACCCAGAUAGUGAGGAAAACAUAUUGGAACAUAUAAGCUGGGACUUUGUGUCCCCACUUCAUCCAGCAGAGUGUUGGAGCAAUAGAAAAGCCAAAGUUUAAGAUGGAGACUAGAUUGAUUCUGUCCGGUCUCUGCAAGUCAAACAACCAUCCUGCAAGUUCACAGAAUCACUCAGGUUAAUAUUCAUUUGACUCUUUUUUUUAAAAAUAUGGUUUUAUCCUUGAACCACAGAAGAUACAUUAUCACUGCUCUAUCCCCACAGAGAGUAAAAGAUAAAGGACCUUAGUCCUUCUUAAUUAACAAACACUUAAUAACUUAAUUUUUUCCCUGGGAAAUUUUACUUUAAAAUACUUUCCCUUUACAUGUUUUCAUUAUUAUUAUUAUUAAUACAUUAUUUGUAGGUACAAGCAAACUGCCUGUUUCAAUGCAGGAUGUAUGAUAAGGAUGAGAUUUCUCAAGUGAAUCUACAGGCAAAGUAC